CUUCCAGUAGCACCUUAGAGACCAACUAAGUUUGUUAUUGGUAUGAGCUACAAACUUAGUUGGUCUCUAAGGUGCUACUGGAAG
rnacentral:miRNA from 1 species